rnacentral:rRNA from 1 species
GACGAACGUUGGCGGCGUGCUUAAUACAUGCAAGUCAACUGAAGCAGUGGUAGCAAUAUCGCUGUGGAGGUGGCGCACGGGUGAGUAACACGUAGGUAAUCUGCCUUCAGGUCUGGCAUAACUCCGGGAAACCGGGGCUAAUAGCAGAUGAUGCAGCGGCUCGACAUCGAGACAGUUGUUAAAGCUAUGGAGCCUGAAGAUGAGCCUGCGUCUGAUUAGCUAGUUGGCGGGGUAACGGCCCACCAAGGCAACGAUCAGUAGCUGGUCUGAGAGGAUGAUCAGGCACACUGGAACCGAGACACGGUCCAGACUCCUACGGGAGGCAGCAGUAAGGAAUAUUGCGCAAUGGGAGAAAUCCUGAAGCAGCAACGCCGCGUGAGGGACGAAGGGCUUUUGCUUGUAAACCUCUGUAGUGAGAGAAAAAAAUCCCAAUCUUUGGGACAUGAUGGUAUCUCAAAAGUAAGCCCCGGCUAACUACGUG